rnacentral:rRNA from 1 species
UGACGGAGCAACGCCGCGUGCAGGAGGACGCUUUUCGGAGUGUAAACUGCUUUUCUGUGGGAAGAGUGAGGACGGUACCACAGGAAGAAGCCCCGGCUAACUACGUGCCAGCAGCCGCGGUAAUACGUAGGGGGCGAGCGUUGUCCGGAGUUACUGGGCGUAAAGGGCAUGCAGGCGGUCGUACGCGUUUUGUGUGACAGCGGGUGGCUUAACUACCCGAGUAUGCGAAAGACGGUAUGACUUGAGGGCUCGAGAGGGACACGGAAUUCCGGGUGGAGUGGUGAAAUGCGUAGAGAUCCGGAGGAACACCGAAGGCGAAGGCAGUGUCCUGGCGAGUGACUGACGCUGAGGUGCGAAAGCUAGGGGAGCGAACGGGAUUAGAUACCCCGGUAGUCCUAGCCGUAAACGAUGACCACCAGGUGUGGGAGGUAUCGACCCCUUCCGUGCCGGAGUUAACACACUAAGUGGUCCGCCUGGGGAGUACGGUCGCAAGAUUAAAACUCAAAGGAAUUGACG